UACGGAGGGGGCUAGCGUUGUUCGGAAUUACUGGGCGUAAAGCGCACGUAGGCGGCUUUGCAAGUCAGAGGUGAAAGCCCGGGGCUCAACCCCGGAAUUGCCUUUGAGACUGCAUCGCUAGAAUUGUGGAGAGGUAAGUGGAAUUCCGAGUGUAGAGGUGAAAUUCGUAGAUAUUGGGAAGAACACCGGUGGCGAAGGCGGCUCACUGGCUCGUAUCUGACGCUCAGGCGCGACAGCGUGGGGAUCAAACAGG
rnacentral:rRNA from 1 species